CUACGCGUGUGUCCCUCGUGGUGUAAACGCAAGACGACCGACGAACCUGGAUAAAAAACCCUGGGUAAAUUGUAUUUUAAAAUUAUCUUUGGUUUGCCAUUGUUUUUCACACUAUACUAGCCCGCUAGGCAGACGUCAGACGUCCUAUUGCUCGAUAGUAUGGGGCAUUGAGGAGCCAUACAACAAGCCCCACCCACAACGGACAUCCUCUUGUUUCGAUAUGAAAUUUGAGACAAUAAAUAUGCGUGCACUAAAAAACUAUUUACUUUGAAGGAGGCGAGAGACGCUUUGUUACGUGCUAAUGUUGAAUACUUUCGCUAUUAUAUGUAAAGUGUUGUGUUACUGAACGUCAGAACCGAAAGGGAGAACACAGAACUGAAAUUAGGGAGAAUCAAAAGCUUUUCAAUGAUGGUUUCAUAUUUGUUUACACGCGUUAUAUACGUCUCCAUAUUUGCUGCGAUUGUGUGGCAAUGGCAGAAUGUCCAGGCAACAACGCGAUGGCAGCCUUCUAUAAUCUGGGAUGGCUAUAACAAACUGUAAGUAUCAUUUGGCUUCACGGUUUUUACACAAUUGCUGAAACGAUAUUGAUCAACUUCCGCUUUUGUGAAACUGUGUUUUGAAAUGUAAACUUUGUCCAUUUCGUCGAUUUCAUGUAACAAAAUUAGGCCGCAAAAUGGCAAGCAACUUGGGAUAAAGUGGAUACAGGCCUACUACAGGACUACUACAUUUAAUAAAACAAAAAAACUACUACAUAUAAUAAAAAAUAAUUCAUAUUAUGAUGCUUCAAAUGAUAACUUGAUCCUCCCCCUUGAUGCUCGCGUUACAUGUAAACCAACCUCUAAUCCUUUCUAUUUUAAAGUUAUUAAGGACGUUUACUUUGAAAGAGACAC
rnacentral:lncRNA from 1 species